GGACCUCUGGAAGAGCAGUCAAUGCUCUUAAUCCCCUGAGCCAUCUCUCCAGCUCCACAGAAAUUCUUAAAGUGCCUGGAACAACACCUAGGACCAACGUGUAUUUCAUCACCCAUGUGUAGUUCUUUUUAACCUAUGUGUAGAAACCUGGCCCCUGCAGACUACAUGGAUAACUGCAGACAUUGCUGAAGGCAGCUUUAAAGAUUCUGCUCCUCAAAGAUGAAGUGCACUAAGUCACCAACAGAUGCUCCACAAAGGACCAAAUUAGAAGUGUUCCAGCAAGAGACUAAUACUAUGGUGGGGGACUGGAGUCUCCAUAGAGGAGAAACUGCACCGUUCCUGGUUAUUGAAAAUUAAAGCGCAAUGCACACCAA